rnacentral:rRNA from 1 species
GCUCACCAAGACGACGACGGGUAGCCGGCCUGAGAGGGCGACCGGCCACACUGGGACUGAGACACGGCCCAGACUCCUACGGGAGGCAGCAGUGGGGAAUAUUGCACAAUGGGGGAAACCCUGAUGCAGCGACGCAGCGUGCGGGAUGACGGCCUUCGGGUUGUAAACCGCUUUCAGCAGGGAAGAAGCCCCUUGGGGUGACGGUACCUGCAGAAGAAGUACCGGCUAACUACGUGCCAGCAGCCGCGGUAAUACGUAGGGUACAAGCGUUGUCCGGAAUUAUUGGGCGUAAAGAGCUCGUAGGUGGUUGGUCACGUCUGCUGUGGAAACGCAACGCUUAACGUUGCGCGUGCAGUGGGUACGGGCUGACUAGAGUGCAAUAGGGGAGUCUGGAAUUCCUGGUGUAGCGGUGAAAUGCGCAGAUAUCAGGAGGAACACCGGUGGCGAAGGCGGGACUCUGGGCUGUAACUGACACUGAGGAGCGAAAGCAUGGGGAGCGAACAGGAUUAGAUACCCUGGUAGUCCAUGCCGUAAACGUUGGGCACUAGGUGUGGGGGACAUUCCACGUUCUCCGCGCCGUAGCUAACGCAUUAAGUGCCCCGCCUGGGGAGUACGGUCGCAAGGCUAAAACUCAAAGGAAUUGACGGGGGCCCGCACAAGCGGCGGAGCAUGCGGAUUAAUUCGAUGCAACGCGAAGAACCUUACCAAGGCUUGACAUACACCAGACCGUUCUGGAAACAGUUCCUCCCCUUUGGGGUUGGUGUACAGGUGGUGCAUGGUUGUCGUCAGCUCGUGUCGUGAGAUGUUGGGUUAAGUCCCGCAACGAGCGCAACCCUCGUUCUAUGUUGCCAGCACGUAAUGGUGGGAACUCAUAGGAGACUGCCGGGGUCAACUCGGAGGAAGGUGGGGAUGACGUCAAAUCAUCAUGCCCUUUAUGUCUUGGGCUUCACGCAUGCUACAAUGGCUGGUACAGAGAGAUGCGAGA